rnacentral:lncRNA from 1 species
UUACUGCUAAGUGGUUUACAGAGCCAAAACCAUUCUCAGCGAAGUGCCCAAGGAGCUGGGAGGGAACAGAAUUAGAACAGCUGACUUUCACUGGUUAGAGGGAUAUCUCAUACCAUAUGACAUCCAGCAGAAGGAGUUUUGAAGGAGGUAGGAGUUCAUCUCUCUCUUCUGCUGCUCGGGAGGCUAGCUGGGAAUCAAUCGGUGAGCUGUUGGUCCAAUGGACACUCACAUAGGAACAGAAAGAAGACUAUAUGCAAGUUUCUCAGGACCUAUGGAACAAAUAAGAGGUUGCAGGUGGAAGUUUCCUGGAUUGCAUCAUUACCAGUGAUGACAUGUGGUGUCACCCCUAAGAGCUGGAGUCAAAACAGUAGUCCAUGAAGUGCCAGCACGUGAAUUCCCAUCAAGAAAAAAAGUACAAGAGUCAACCUCAGCAGGUAAACUGAAGGCUUAUGUCCCUUCUCCAAUUGCUUUGUCAAUGUCCUCUUCCCUAGAUAGGGAUCCUAGCUAUCUAGUUUUACUGCCUGCUCAGUGCAGGCUAUUGACUCCAUUAUCCUAGCAUCAGCACAGUCACAUGAUAAAAUGCUCACCCUGCUGGCAAUAUCACAUCUCACCACUCACUGACUGAUGCCUAGCAACUCCCAGGCAGUGGCCAAAUAACCCUGCCCAACUCCCUGCAGCUUUAUAACCUUCUGCCUGAUGCCUUGUAUUAUGGAAUAACCCCUUGACUAAUGAAG